rnacentral:rRNA from 1 species
UACGAAGGGGGCUAGCGUUGCUCGGAAUCACUGGGCGUAAAGGGUGCGUAGGCGGGUCUUUAAGUCAGGGGUGAAAUCCUGGAGCUCAACUCCAGAACUGCCUUUGAUACUGGGAAGCUUGAGUCCGGGAGAGGUGAGUGGAACUCCGAGUGUAGAGGUGAAAUUCGUAGAUAUUCGGAAGAACACCAGUGGCGAAGGCGGCUCACUGGCCCGGUACUGACGCUGAGGUGCGAAAGCGUGGGGAGCAAACAGG